AGCAAGAGUGCAGGUUUUCGAAAAUGCAUCGGUAAGGGCCACUAAAUCUGACCUUCCUCGGUCCUCUUUGUGGUCUAGGAGGAAAACUAGUGUUUCUGCUGCUGCUUCAGUGAGCGCAACUAUUCUGAUCAGCAUGGUCCAGGGACAGUUGAGAGUUCUUGGGCAAGAGGGGAAUCUGCUGCUGCAUCGAACCUCAGAGGAUCCAGAACGGCAGCUGGUCCUUGCUGGGCUGUUCCUGUCCAUCUGCCUGGUCACGGUGCUGGGGAACCUACUCAUCAUCCUGGCCGUCAGCCCUGACUCCCACCUCCGCACCCCCAUGUACUUCUCCCUCUCCAACCUGUCCUUGCCUGACAUCAGUUUCACCUCCACCACGGUCCCCAAGAUGAUUGUGGACAUCCAAUCUCACAGCAGAGUCAUCUCCUAUGCAGGCUACCUGACUCAGAUGUCUCUCUUUGCCAUUUUUGGAGGCAUGAAAGAGAGACACGCUCCUGAGUGCGAUGGCCUAUGACCGGUUUGUAGCCAUCUGUCACCCUCUAUGUCAUUCAGCCAGUAUGAAC
rnacentral:lncRNA from 1 species